UCACCGGCGACACCACCAGCACACUGUCACCGCCAUCUCCUCCUCCUUCUUCUUCUUUCUUUCUUUCUUUCUUUCUUUCUUCAUCCACAUUUGCAUUUCCUGGCGAGAGGCAGAGUCGCAGCAGAGUUGCGCCACCCACGCCAUCGAGCGCCACUGCCGCUCCUCGCUGUAGCUCGACGUCGCCAAAGCUUGCCAUUCCGUCUCUCUCUCCGUUCGAACCAAGCAGAGGCAGUAGCUUAGAGAGGACUGCAUUUCGACCCACCUACUCCACCAGAUCACACCACCUCCUUGAUCUGUCGCGCCACAGCUCCGCCGUUGCUCCAGCACGUCUCUGGCCACCAGGAAUAGGCUCAGCGAGCCUCUGUCGCACUGCCAGCAGUCUUCUUCCUCCAUUAGUUCAGUCACGCUUGCCUGUGGUCACAAUUUCAGUUGUCGCUCUCCACGAUUUUCUCCGUCGACACCACCGCUUGAGAUCGCGUUUCAUCUGCUUGUAGUUCCGGUGAGCGCAGCAACCUGUUUUGGUCGACUCAGCGCCAUUGCUCUCACCUGCUCUUCGUUCCGGCACGCGUAGUCUCUAUUUUCGGUCGAACAAAUUUCAGCAGCAAUAUAUUGGAUCGCUCGGACCCGUCUAGUGCUCCUCCUGGGCAGAAUCAAAGCUAGAGCUUCGUUCUCCACCACUGUAGUAGGAAGCUGCUGAUUCAACUGAAGCUCUGUCAUUUUCCUCGCAGAGCUACAAAAAGUAAAUUUAUAACUUUUGUUAUUAUGAGUUAAAAUUGUGUUAUUAAAUAUAUACACUACUCUAUUUCCAAAUUAUUAUUGAACUCUGCAGAUAUAGGGUUGUGUAUUUUCAAUUGGGCUUUUCCAUAUGCGUUGUUUUAUAAAUGAUUUGUUGUAUAAUUAGACGCAGGUGAAUCAGUAGGCCCAUAUUAUGAAUGUGAUUUAUCAUGAUUAGGCCCAAGCUACACCUAUUUGAGAUAAUGAAAAUUGGGGCCGGAUUGUAUAACACUUAUCUAUAUUUAUAUCCUAACUGGUAUGGGCUUACUGUUCC